rnacentral:lncRNA from 1 species
CACUAGUAGCCCGAUUUGAGUCUGAAACGGUCAUUUUGGUCUGAUCACAUCUUGAUUGACUGGACUUACCGCUAGAGAAAUUCGUCACGAUAUUUAAGGUCGUUAAGUCGCCGUUCAGAUCGAUAGCCUCAUCAGGUAAAUCAGUUCGUUAAGACAUGUCAAGACGGAAAAGACUGAAUCGUCUAGCGGGUUGUUUAGACCCGUUAAGACCGUGUCAGACCAAAACAGACCAAAACAGACCAUGUAUACAAAAUUACGUUCAAAAUGUUCAGACCCUGUUUAGAUCCGUUCAGUAUACCGGUUUGAUAACACGAGUUGCGCCCCUUCUACUCGAUAAUGCAUUUUAAAUUAAUAUGUAUAUAUGUUUUUUUAAUAUUCGGAUUUGUUUGAAGUAUAUUUCUUUACUUGUUUUGUCGAGGAACUAAUAAAUUAUUCGUCUAUAUAUGUUGUUUAUUUUUUAAUAAAUGUUAGUUUAUAUAAAUAUAUAUUGGUAAU